GGAGUAGAGACAGCGCGUCAAGUACCGGCUGGAUGGGAGGUUGCCACCGGGCGAAGGACUCGUUCCGCGAUGCUGUUCUCGCAACCGCCU
rnacentral:ncRNA from 1 species